UACGGGGGGGGCAAGCGUUGUUCGGAAUUACUGGGCGUAAAGGGCUCGUAGGCGGCCAACUAAGUCAGACGUGAAAUCCCUCGGCUUAACCGGGGAACUGCGUCUGAUACUGGAUGGCUUGAGUUCGGGAGAGGGAUGCGGAAUUCCAGGUGUAGCGGUGAAAUGCGUAGAUAUCUGGAGGAACACCGGUGGCGAAGGCGGCAUCCUGGACCGACACUGACGCUGAGGAGCGAAAGCCAGGGGAGCAGACGGG
rnacentral:rRNA from 1 species